GGACAGAUCUGUGGGGAACAUUCUUGUUCCGCUCAGUACUAUGGGCCAGGUCCCUUUACCUGUCACCUCCUUUCCUCACACUCCUGCCAGAGCCCUCCUGCCACCCUCCUUUGGCUCUGUAAUGCUUUGCUAGGAGAAAGUCCAUCCCCACACGCUCCCCCAGGACUCCCCUUGCUGCACCCAGCAGUGCCUCCUACCUGCUGCAGAGUCGGCGAUCAGGGCCAGGACCAGCAAGAAGGACCAACCUGCUGCCACCCUUUUUAUGUGUGCCCUAACCCUCGUUAACUGCCCCACAGCUGUAACCUGCUGCUUGGAACCGGUGUAACCUUCCCUUCUGCACCAUUUCCUCGUGACUGAAGGUGGCAAUAACCAGGCUGGAUGAGGCUCUCAGCACCUGAUCGAACUGUAGGUGUCCCUGUUCAUUGCAGGACAAGUUGUGUGUUGAGACACGGAUGGGAGCAUUCAGGUGGAGCUAAAGACAAUUUGGCAGAAAUGAAGAUCAGCUUUUUCUCUCAUCCUGACCAUCCCGUGGACUGCUCUGAUUGUAGAAGAGAGCUGUGACUGUGAAUAACUGUGCAGGCUUUGAGAAUUUGAGUUCUGAGUUUGGUAGAAUAGACUUAAUACAGUAAACUACACCCAAAUUCCACCACCAUGGGAAUCGCAGGGUGAGGAGAACCGUAUUCGAAUCUUGGAUAUAUGGGAUUCUUUGCAGUCGUCCUAUGAAGGCUAAUAAUCACAAUCAUUUGAGAAAGAAAAGAUUAAAGGUGAUAUUCCUGCAUAAAUACCCACUGUGCUCCAGAUGGGAGAGCAAUUCUUCCCUUCCUAUCCUUCAGAAUGAAUCUUUCUUGGGCCUGACCUGUGUCCAGCCCUCAUGCAGAAGGAUUAGGAGCAUUAAACCAUUGCACUUGGCUUUGCUUCUCCAUUUGAAAUGCGACCUGGGACCAGAGGUGUUGAGGGGCUUGCAUGAGCAAAGGGAACAGCAAAGUGGUUGGGACAGUAGGUCCUAUCUUGCCGCUAUCCCUGGCUCCUGGUGGGACACUGCUGAUGGCAAUGAAUUAAAAUCCAAGUAAUUAUAUGCCCAUCUGUGUUGUUGUACCCCUUGCUUUCCAUUGCCAUGUGAGGUAGUGAGUGCUUGCAGAGUAUGGACAACUGAUCCCUUUCAGGAAUAACACAACAAAGCUUUUUCAGGAGAUAAAUACAGAGGAAUGAAUCCCCUUGAGCCACAAGGAGUUUUUGUUCCAGAUCUUGAAUUCUAGUUUAACACUUCUUUCCAUAUGGGGCCAUGAUUACAUAUCUGCAUUCAUCUGAGACAUGAAGCCUUGUCAUGGAGCAAUUGUACACAUUAAGCGCUUGAAAUUCUGCCAUUGAGCAAAAGGCAUGGGUUGCUUCCCCAUUUCCUGCUUACAGAAGUGUUCCCUCCUGUGGGGAUGCAUUAGCAGGGAAGAGGCUGUGCACAGAGGAAAGAAAAUUUGGAGUCGCUCAGGGACAAAUGUUGAUCUAUUACAGCUGAAUAAAUCCACAGUAGUAUAAUUUAUUCCCUGGGAUGUGCAUUAGUUUUAUCCUGGCGUAUAUGAGAUCACAAACUUCUGCAUGCAUGGUUCCCCAGCUGAUAUUAGCACAAUGCUAUUCUGAUGAAAUUCCAGACUACCUUAAGUUUGAUGUUUUCCUUAGAAAACCCUUUUUUUUUCCUUUUUUUUCUUUUUUUUCCAGUUGCUUAUCUCUUUGGCUAACCUCAACCAUUUUGAUAGAGGUUUUUCUAUGCUGAAAACGUGCCUCAGGCAAAUCUGCAAACUUUUAAAGUGUCAGUCAGAACAGUGAAAUCAGCUCAGCGUGAGACAACACGAGAAACAGAAAGUUGCUUUUCCCACAUGAAAAUUUAUGGCUUUUUUUAGGGAGCAACUCCAAAGUUGCUGUGCUUUGGAGCUGCGCUGGCCGGAUCCUGGCUGCCAUUGGUUGUGAUAAGGAAUCCUCGCAGCUCCUUGUAAGGAGCACAAAGAUAUGGCCACAAAACCUAACAAAAUUGCUGAAUACUCAAGUCCUCAGCACUCCACAGCCUGCCAGGGUUGGGUGUUACCAGUGUGUUUUGUCCACCCAUCUUCUCCCAUCCUGCCUGGCUCCAAGCCUGCUUUCCUGGCCUACCACUGACAACCACAGCCACCAGCUCCUCUCUGCCUGGACUAAUGGCUAAUGGGGUCUGCUGAUUUACCCCUGGACCUUAUCAUAGAAUAUCUGAGUUGGAAUGGAUUUGUAAGGGUUGUUGAGUCCAACUCCUGGCUCCACACAGGACCACCCAAAAGGCAGACCAUAAUGGGCAGCUUGGAAACAAAGGGAAAGGAAGGGAGCCAGGCUAAUGUAGAAACUGGUGUCUCACACAGUGAGAAAGAAAAGGAAGAAGAGAACAAGAUGAGCCUUUGUGUUCCUCCAAAUCACAUUCCCUCACUCAUUUUCAAUGAGUACAAUAUUUCUUACUGCUAU